rnacentral:rRNA from 1 species
CCUACGGGGGGCUGCAGUGAGGAAUAUUGGUCAAUGGGCGUAAGCCUGAACCAGCCAUCCCGCGUGAAGGAAGACGGCGCUAUGCGUUGUAAACUUCUUUUCCGGAGGAAUAAAAUUUCGUACGUGUACGGAACUGAAGGUACUCCGGGAAUAAGCAUCGGCUAACUCCGUGCCAGCAGCCGCGGUAAUACGGAGGAUGCGAGCGUUAUCGGGAUUUAUUGGGUUUAGGGGGUGCGUUAAGUGAUUAAUGAAAACCUUCAGCUUAACUGGAGACUUGCCAUUGAUACUGUUAGUCUUGAGUACGGUCAAGGUAGGCGGAAUGUGUAAUGUAGCGGUGAAAUGCUUAGAUAUUACACAGAACACCGAUUGCGAAGGCAGCUUACUGGGCCAUUACUGACGCUGAUGCACGAAAGCGUGGGGAGCGAACAGGAUUAGAUACCCUGGUAGUC